rnacentral:rRNA from 1 species
GAUGAACGCUAGCGGCAGGCUUAAUACAUGCAAGUCGAGGGGUAUAAAGUAGCUUGCUAUUUUAGAGACCGGCAAACGGUGCGGAACACGUACACAAUCUAACCUUAUCUGGGGGAUAGCCCAUAGAAAUGUGGAUUAAUACCCCAUAGUAUUACGGAGUGGCAUCAUUUUGUAAUUAAAGAAUUUCGGAUAAGGAUGAGUGUGCGUCUGAUUAGGUAGUUGGCGGGGUAACGGCCCACCAAGCCGACGAUCAGUAGCUGAUGUGAGAGCAUGAUCAGCCACACGGGCACUGAGACACGGGCCCGACUCCUACGGGAGGCAGCAGUAAGGAUAUUGGUCAAUGGACGGAAGUCUGAACCAGCCAUGCCGCGUGAAGGACGAAGGCGUUCUGCGUUGUAAACUUCUUUUAUCAGAGAAGAGACCACCGAUUUCUAUUGGUGUUGACGGUAUCUGAUGAAUAAGCACCGGCUAACUCCGUGCCAGCAGCCGCGGUAAU